GAGAGUAUAGCUUAGUGGUAGAGUGCAUGCUUAAAAUGUACAAGGUCCUAGGUUCAAGACCCAGUACCUCCA
rnacentral:tRNA from 1 species